UACGUAUGGAGCAAGCGUUAUCCGGAUUUACUGGGUGUAAAGGGAGCGUAGACGGCAUAGCAAGUCUGAAGUGAAAUCCCAUGGCUUAACCAUGGAACUGCUUUGGAAACUGCCAGGCUAGAGUGCAGGAGAGGUAAGCGGAAUUCCUAGUGUAGCGGUGAAAUGCGUAGAUAUUAGGAGGAACACCAGUGGCGAAGGCGGCUUACUGGACUGUAACUGACGUUGAGGCUCGAAAGCGUGGGGAGCAAAC
rnacentral:rRNA from 1 species